GGGGCGGGGCCACGGGGGCCUUACGGGAGCCACCAGUAAGAAAUAUUGGUCAAUGGAGGCAAUUCUGACCCACCCAUGCCGCGUCCAGGAAGACGGCCUUUUGGGUGGUAAAUUGUUUUAAUCCGGGAAUAAACCCUCUUUCGUGAAAGAGGUUGAAUGUACGGUAAGAAUAAGGAUCGGCUAACUCCGUGCCAGCAGCCGCGGUAAUACGGAGGAUCCA
rnacentral:rRNA from 1 species